rnacentral:tRNA from 1 species
GAGGGUGUAGCUCAGUGGUAGAGCACAUGCUUAGCAGGCACGACAUCCUGAGUUCAAUCCCCAGAACCGCCU